rnacentral:misc_RNA from 1 species
AAGGAGCACCACGAAAAGCACCCCAACUGGUGGGGUGCGAGCCGUGAGGGGUUCCCGUCUGUAGUGGACGGGGGCCGGGUGCGCAACAGCAAAUGAUUGCCAGACACACUAUUGGGCCCUGAGACAACACUCGGUCCGUCCGUGUGGAGUCCCUCCAUCUUGGUGGUGGGGUGUGGUGUUUGAGUAUUGGAUAGUGGUUGCGAGCAUC